rnacentral:rRNA from 1 species
CAAGUCGAACGCGAAAGUCCCGCAAGGGAUAAGUAGAGUGGCAAACGGGUGAGUAACGCGUGGGCGACCUACCUUCGAGUGGGGGAUAACCUUCCGAAAGGAGGGCUAAUACCGCAUGACAUCCCGUGUUUGGAGACACGGAAAUCAAAGCCGGGGAUCGCAAGACCUGGCGCUUGAAGAGGGGCCUACGUCCGAUUAGCUAGUUGGUGAGGUAACGGCUCACCAAGGCUCCGAUCGGUAUCCGGCCUGAGAGGGCGGACGGACACACUGGAACUGAGACACGGUCCAGACUCCUACGGGAGGCAGCAGUGGGGAAUUGUUCGCAAUGGGCGCAAGCCUGACGACGCAACGCCGCGUGGAGGAUGAAGACCUUCGGGUCGUAAACUCCUUUCGACCGAGAUGAAUUCCUGCCGGCCUAACACGCCGGCGGGGUGACAGUAUCGAGGGAAGCAGCCCCGGCUAACUCCGUGCCAGCAGCCGCGGUAAUACGGGGGGGGCAAGCGUUGUUCGGAAUUACUGGGCGUAAAGGGUUAGUAGGUGGCCAACUAAGUCAGACGUGAAAUCCCUCAGCUUAACUGGGGAACUGCGUCUGAGACUGAUUGGCUUGAGGACAGGAGAGGAACGCGGAAUUCCAGGUGUAGCGGUGAAAUGCGUAGAUAUCUGGAGGAACACCGGUGGCGAAGGCGGCGUUCUGGACUGUUUCUGACACUGAAUAACGAAAGCCAGGGGAGCAAACGGGAUUAGAUACCCCGGUAGUCCUGGCCCUAAACGAUGAAUGCUUGGUGUGGCGGGUAUCGAUCCCUGCCGUGCCGCAGUUAACGCGUUAAGCAUUCCGCCUGGGGAGUACGGUCGCAAGGCUGAAACUCAAGGAAUUGACGGGGGCCCGCACAAGCGGUGGA